UUCAUUCAGAUGUUCAGAUGUA
rnacentral:miRNA from 1 species